rnacentral:rRNA from 1 species
AUUGAACGCUGGCGGAAUGCUUUACACAUGCAAGUCGAACGGCAGCACGGACUUCGGUCUGGUGGCGAGUGGCGAACGGGUGAGUAAUGUAUCGGAACGUGCCCAGUCGUGGGGGAUAACGUAGUGAAAAUUACGCUAAUACCGCAUACGAUCUAUGGAUGAAAGCGGGGGAUCGCAAGACCUCGCGCGAUUGGAGCGGCCGAUAUCAGAUUAGGUAGUUGGUGGGGUAAAGGCACACCAAGCCAACGAUCUGUAGCUGGUCUGAGAGGACGACCAGCCACACUGGAACUGAGACACGGUCCAGACUCCUACGGGAGGCAGCAGUGGGGAAUUUUGAACAAUGGGCGAAAGCCUGAUCCAGCCAUUCCGCGUGCAGGAUGAAGGCCCUCGGGUUGUAAACUGCUUUUGUACAGAACGAAAAGGUUUCUACUAAUACUAGGAGCUCAUGACGGUACUGUAAGAAUAAGCACCGGCUAACUACGUGCCAGCAGCCGCCGUAA